GACGAACGCUGGCGGCGUGCCUAAUACAUGCAAGUCGAACGCAGUGGGGACGGGUGAGUAACACGUGGGUAACCUCCCAUCAGAGGGGAUAACACUUGGAAACAGGUGCUAAACUGAUACUGAUGGAUGUACCCGGGGUGCAUUAGCUAGUUGGUGAGGUAACGGCUCACCAAGGCCACGAUGCAUAGCUGGCCUGAGAGGAUGAUCAGCCACACUGGAACUGAGACACGGCCCAGACUCCUACGGGAGGCAGCAGUAGGGAAUAUUGGGCAAUGGGCGAAAGCCUGACCGAGCAACGCCGCGUGAGUGAAGAAGGUUUUCGGAGCGUAAACCUCUGUUGUUAGAGAAGCGGUAUCUAACCAGAAAGCCACGGCUAACUACGUGCCAGCAGCCGCGGUAAUAC
rnacentral:rRNA from 1 species